AUUGAACGCUGGCGGCAUGCCUUACACAUGCAAGUCGAACGGCAGCAUGGAGAGCUUGCUCUCUGAUGGCGAGUGGCGAACGGGUGAGUAAAGCAUCGGAACGUACCGUGUAGUGGGGGAUAACGUAGCGAAAGUUACGCUAACACCGCAUACGCACUGAGGUGGAAAGCAGGGGAUCGCAAGACCUUGCGCUAUACGAGCGGCCGAUGUCAGAUUAGCUAGUUGGUAGGGUAAAGGCCUACCAAGGCGACGAUCUGUAGCGGGUCUGAGAGGAUGAUCCGCCACACUGGGACUGGGACACGGCCCAGACUCCUACGGGAGGCAGCAGUGGGGAAUUUUGGACAAUGGGGGAAACCCUGAUCCAGCCAUGCCGCGUGAGUGAAGAAGGCCUUCGGGUUGUAAAGCUCUUUCGGCUGGGAAGAAAUCGCACAGGCUAAUACUCUGUGUGGAUGACGGUACCAGCAUAAGAAGCACCGGCUAACUACGUGCCAGCCGCCGCCGUAAAAC
rnacentral:rRNA from 1 species